GAUGAACGCUAGCGGCAGGCUUAACACAUGCAAGUCGAGGGGUAGAGGCUUUCGGGCCUUGAGACCGGCGCAUGGGUGCGUAACGCGUAUGCAAUCUGCCUUCCACAGAGGGAUAGCCCAGAGAAAUUUGGAUUAAUACCUCAUGGUAUAACCAGUCCGCAUGGUCUGGUUAUUAAAGUCACAACGGUGGAAGAUGAGCAUGCGUCCCAUUAGCUAGUUGGUAAGGUAACGGCUUACCAAGGCGACGAUGGGUAGGGGUCCUGAGAGGGAGAUCCCCCACACGGGUACUGAGACACGGACCAGACUCCUACGGGAGGCAGCAGUGAGGAAUAUUGGUCAAUGGGCGCAAGCCCGAACCAGCCAUGCCGCGUGCAGGAUGACGGUCCUAUGGAUUGUAAACUGCUUUUGUACGGGAAGAAACACUGAUUCGUGAAUCAGCCUGACGGUGCCGUAAGAAUAAGGAUCGGCUAACUCCGUGCCAGCCGCCGCGGUAAAAC
rnacentral:rRNA from 1 species